GCUCCCUAGGAGGGUUUGUCACUUUCCUCUGUGAAAAACCCGCAGCUCAACUGCGGAUCUUGCCAGGGGAUACGGGCAGACUUCUAGUACUGCAGGGUGAGACUGGAAUUCCUGGUGUUAGCGGUGAAAAUGCGCAGAUAUCAGGAGGAACACCGGUGGCGAAGGCGGGUCUCUGGGCAGUAACUGACGCUGAGGAGCGAAAGCGUGGGUAGCGAACAGGAUUAGAUACCCUGGUAGUCCACGCCGUAAACGGUGGGCGCUAGGUGUGGGUUUCCUUCCACGGGAUCCGUGCCGUAGCUAACGCAUUAAGCGCCCCGCCUGGGGGAGUACGGCCGCAAGGCUAAACUCAAAGGUAUUGACGGGCGCCCGCACAAGCGGCGGAACAUGUGGAUUAAUUCGAUGCACGCGAAGAACCUAUACCUGGGUUUGACAUACCACCGGACCGCCCCAAAGAUGGGGUUUCCCUUGACCUCGGAAGUACAGGUGGUGCAAUGGUUGUCGGCACCUCGUGUUCGUGAGAUGUUGGGGUUAAGUCCCCGCAACGAGGCAACCCUUUGUCUGUGUUGCCACCAAGUAAUUUUGCGAAACUCCCAGGAAACUGCCGGGGUCCACUUCGGAAGAAGGGGGGAACCACUUCAAUCUCAUGCCCCUUUUUUCCAGGGUUUCACCUGCUAAAUUGGCCGGACAGAGGGUGCGAUUCCGCGAGGUGGAGGAAUCCUUUAGGGUUCUCAUUGGAUGGGUCCGCCACCCCCUGAACCGAAUCCUAAUAUCAAACACACCUCGGUAAUCUUUCGCAUAAAA
rnacentral:rRNA from 1 species